AAUCUUCCACAAUGGACGAAAGUCUGAUGGAGCAACGCCGCGUGAGCGAAGAAGGCCUUCGGGUCGUAAAGCUCUGUCCUAAGGGAAGAAACGGACGGUACCUUAGGAGGAAGCCCCGGCUAACUACGUGCCAGCAGCCGCGGUAAUACGUAGGGGGCGAGCGUUAUCCGGAAUUAUUGGGCGUAAAGCGCGCGCAGGCGGUCUUUUAAGUCUGAUGUGAAAUCUUACAGCUUAACUGUAAGCGGUCAUUGGAAACUGGGAGACUUGAGUGCAGAAGAGGAGAGUGGAAUUCCAUGUGUAGCGGUGAAAUGCGUAGAGAUAUGGAGGAACACCAGUGGCGAAGGCGACUCUCUGGUCUGUAACUGACGCUGAGGCGCGAAAGCGUGGGGAUCAAACA
rnacentral:rRNA from 1 species